UUCUUCUUCUUCUUCUUCUUUUUGCCUUGCCCUCCCCUCGUCGUCCUCGUCCUCGUCCUCGUCCUCUCAGUUCUGUUUCUUCCUCCGGGCCGGACCUUCCCUGGCUGCUGCAAGUCAUUCUUCUUGGUGCAUCCAUGAGUGUGAUUCUAGCCGCAUAUUUUUCUCACUGCACCGAUUGAAAAUACAUCAUCCCUCAAGCUUAUCAACUUAAAGAUCUAUUGAUUCAAGUUAAAAGCAAGAUUUCUGGUUGAGUUUGGACCGACAUGUUUUGGGUUUGGUACUUUGGUUGGGAAUUGGUGGGUUUGCUUCAUCAAUUUCAAUUGUGAUUCUCUACCAUUGGCGAUGGAGGAAAGGUCUCCUUCUAAGGGACGCUACCUCCCGUCCCAAGCGGCCUUUUAAGGUGUACACAACCUCCGAUCCCAUUCACAGCUGUUUUGAAUUUUGUAGCCAAGGAAUUUAAAGACCCUCCCCAAACCAGCGCUAUCAU
rnacentral:misc_RNA from 1 species